GCGGAUUCCAGCGUGACACACAGAUGCUUUGAAGUAUAGCUCUUAUGCUAUGAUUUGAUGAUGGAGCUCAACAAUUCUAAAGGACACUCGACAGAAAUGCAAGAUGUUAUCCUCAAAUGGUUGACAUUUCUAUUAUGUAGGAAAGCAGAGAAGAGGAAGAUACUGCUAUGUUAUCACUCCCGUGACGAGGGGAAUAUCAAAAGGUUCCUGAAGAGCUUACAUAGCAUCAAAGCUGAUGUCACUUGCAGAAAUGAGAGGACGGAGAAAGACGAUGAAUAUAACAAUUUUAGCAAUGGGAUCGUUCUCAUGUGUUUGUCAAAAGAGUACGCAACAAGCCAGGAACAAGAACAAGG